UAACUGAAGAGUUUGAUCAUGGCUCAGAUUGAACGCUGGCGGCAGGCUUAACACAUGCAAGUCGAGCGGGGGAAGGUAGCUUGCUACUGGACCUAGCGGCGGACGGGUGAGUAAUGCUUAGGAAUCUGCCUAUUAGUGGGGGACAACAUCUCGAAAGGGAUGCUAAUACCGCAUACGUCCUACGGGAGAAAGCAGGGGAUCUUCGGACCUUGCGCUAAUAGAUGAGCCUAAGUCGGAUUAGCUAGUUGGUGGGGUAAAGGCCUACCAAGGCGACGAUCUGUAGCGGGUCUGAGAGGAUGAUCCGCCACACUGGGACUGAGACACG
rnacentral:rRNA from 1 species